rnacentral:rRNA from 1 species
CCUAUACAUGCAGUCGAGCGGACAGAAGGGAGCUUGCUCCCGGAUGUUAGCGGCGGACGGGUGAGUAACACGUGGGUAACCUGCCUGUAAGACUGGGAUAACUCCGGGAAACCGGAGCUAAUACCGGAUAGUUCCUUGAACCGCAUGGUUCAAGGAUGAAAGACGGUUUCGGCUGUCACUUACAGAUGGACCCGCGGCGCAUUAGCUAGUUGGUGAGGUAACGGCUCACCAAGGCGACGAUGCGUAGCCGACCUGAGAGGGUGAUCGGCCACACUGGGACUGAGACACGGCCCAGACUCCUACGGGAGGCAGCAGUAGGGAAUCUUCCGCAAUGGACGAAAGUCUGACGGAGCAACGCCGCGUGAGUGAUGAAGGUUUUCGGAUCGUAAAGCUCUGUUGUUAGGGAAGAACAAGUGCAAGAGUAACUGCUUGCACCUUGACGGUACCUAACCAGAAAGCCACGGCUAACUACGUGCCAGCAGCCGCGGUAAUACGUAGGUGGCAAGCGUUGUCCGGAAUUAUUGGGCGUAAAGGGCUCGCAGGCGGUUUCUUAAGUCUGAUGUGAAAGCCCCCGGCUCAACCGGGGAGGGUCAUUGGAAACUGGGAAACUUGAGUGCAGAAGAGGAGAGUGGAAUUCCACGUGUAGCGGUGAAAUGCGUAGAGAUGUGGAGGAACACCAGUGGCGAAGGCGACUCUCUGGUCUGUAACUGACGCUGAGGAGCGAAAGCGUGGGGAGCGAACAGGAUUAGAUA